rnacentral:rRNA from 1 species
CUGGCGGCAGGCUUAACACAUGCAAGUCGAGCGGAAACGAUGGGAGCUUGCUCCCAGGCGUCGAGCGGCGGACGGGUGAGUAACACUUAGGAAUCUACCUAGUAGUGGGGGAUAGCUCGGGGAAACUCGAAUUAAUACCGCAUACGUCCUACGGGAGAAAGGGGGCAACUUGUUGCUCUCGCUAUUAGAUGAGCCUAAGUCGGAUUAGCUAGUUGGUGGGGUAAAGGCCUACCAAGGCGACGAUCUGUAGCUGGUCUGAGAGGAUGAUCAGCCACACCGGGACUGAGACACGGCCCGGACUCCUACGGGAGGCAGCAGUGGGGAAUAUUGGACAAUGGGGGCAACCCUGAUCCAGCCAUGCCGCGUGUGUGAAGAAGGCCUUUUGGUUGUAAAGCACUUUAAGCAGUGAAGAAGACCAUAUGGUUAAUACCCAUAUGCGAUGACAUUAGCUGCAGAAUAAGCACCGGCUAACUCUGUGCCAGCAGCCGCGGUAAUACAGAGGGUGCAAGCGUUAAUCGGAAUUACUGGGCGUAAAGCGAGCGUAGGUGGCUUGAUAAGUCAGAUGUGAAAUCCCCGGGCUUAACCUGGGAACUGCAUCUGAUACUGUUAGGCUAGAAUAGGUGAGAGGAAGGUAGAAUUCCAGGUGUAGCGGUGAAAUGCGUAGAGAUCUGGAGGAAUACCGAUGGCGAAGGCAGCCUUCUGGCAUCAUAUUGACACUGAGGUUCGAAAGCGUGGGUAGCAAACAGGAUUAGAUACCCUGGUAGUCCACGCCGUAAACGAUGUCUACUAGUCGUUGGGUCCCUUGAGGACUUAGUGACGCAGCUAACGCAAUAAGUAGACCGC